CCAUAUUAUGUUGAAACACUGGUUCUUGUAUGAUCAUCGAGGUUAAGCAACAUUGAGCCUGAUCAGUACCUCAAUAGGUGACUGCUUGGGAAUACCAAGUGCUGUAAG